rnacentral:rRNA from 1 species
GAUGAACGCUGGCGGCGUGCCUAAUACAUGCAAGUCGAGCGAAUGGAUUAAGAGCUUGCUCUUAUGAAGUUAGCGGCGGACGGGUGAGUAACACGUGGGUAACCUGCCCAUAAGACUGGGAUAACUCCGGGAAACCGGGGCUAAUACCGGAUAAUAUUUUGAACUGCAUGGUUCGAAAUUGAAAGGCGGCUUCGGCUGUCACUUAUGGAUGGACCCGCGUCGCAUUAGCUAGUUGGUGAGGUAACGGCUCACCAAGGCAACGAGGCGUAGCCGACCGGGGAGGGUGAUCGGCCACCCUGGGACUGAGACACGGCCCAGGCUCCUGCGGGAGGCAGCAGUAGGGAAUCUUCCGCAAUGGACGAAAGUCUGACGGAGCAACGCCGCGUGAGUGAUGAAGGCUUUCGGGUCGUAAAACUCUGUUGUUAGGGAAGAACAAGUGCUAGUUGAAUAAGCUGGCACCUUGACGGUACCUAACCAGAAAGCCACGGCUAACUACGUGCCAGCCGCCGCCGUAA